AACGCGAAAGGGGCUUCGGCCCUGAGUAGAGUGGCGAACGGGUGAGUAACACGUGGGUGAUCUACCUUCGAGUGGGGGAUAACGUUCCGAAAGGAACGCUAAUACCGCAUGACGUUCUGGGUUUAAAGACCUGGAAACCAAAGCCGGGGACCGCAAGGCCUGGCGCUUGAAGAGGAGCCCGCGUCCGAUUAGCUAGUUGGCGGGGUAAUGGCCCACCAAGGCGACGAUCGGUAGCCGGCCUGAGAGGGCGGACGGCCACACUGGAACUGAGACACGGUCCAGACUCCUACGGGAGGCAGCAGUGGGGAAUUGUUCACAAUGGGCGCAAGCCUGAUGACGCAACGCCGCGUGGGGGAUGAAGGUCUUCGGAUCGUAAACCCCUGUCGAAUGGGACGAAUGACCUCUGGGCUAAUCACCAGAGGAAUGACGGUACCGUUAAAGGAAGCCACGGCUAACUCUGUGCCAGCAGCCGCGGUAAUACAGAGGUGGCAAGCGUUG
rnacentral:rRNA from 1 species